rnacentral:tRNA from 1 species
AAAAGAGUAAGCUAAGAACAAGCUACUAGGUUCAUACCCUGAGAAUGGAUUAUUAUCCCUCUUUUAAUUA